rnacentral:rRNA from 1 species
UGGGGAAUAUUGGACAAUGGGCGAAAGCCUGAUCCAGCCAUGCCGCGUGUGUGAAGAAGGUCUUCGGAUUGUAAAGCACUUUAAGUUGGGAGGAAGGGCAGUAAGCGAAUACCUUGCUGUUUUGACGUUACCGACAGAAUAAGCACCGGCUAACUCUGUGCCAGCAGCCGCGGUAAUACAGAGGGUGCAAGCGUUAAUCGGAAUUACUGGGCGUAAAGCGCGCGUAGGUGGUUCGUUAAGUUGAAUGUGAAAGCCCCGGGCUCAACCUGGGAACUGCAUCCAAAACUGGCGAGCUAGAGUAGGGCAGAGGGUGGUGGAAUUUCCUGUGUAGCGGAGAAAUGCGUGGAUAUAGGAAGGAACACCAGUGGCGAAGGCGACCACCUGGGCUCAUACUGACACUGAGGUGCGAAAGCGUGGGGAGCAAACAGG